AGCCUGUAUCCUUGAUUCAGCGGCGGACGGGUGAGUAAAGCCUAGGAAUCUGCCUGGUAGUGGGGGACAACGUUUCGAAAGGAACGCUAAUACCGCAUACGUCCUACGGGAGAAAGCAGGGGACCUUCGGGCCUUGCGCUAUCAGAUGAGCCUAGGUCGGAUUAGCUAGUUGGUGGGGUAAUGGCUCACCAAGGCGACGAUCCGUAACUGGUCUGAGAGGAUGAUCAGUCACACUGGAACUGAGACACGGUCCAGACUCCUACGGGAGGCAGCAGUGGGGAAUAUUGGACAAUGGGCGAAAGCCUGAUCCAGCCAUGCCGCGUGUGUGAAGAAGGUCUUCGGAUUGUAAAGCACUUUAAGUUGGGAGGAAGGGCAGUAAGCUAAUACCUUGCUGUUUUGACGUUACCGACAGAAUAAGCACCGGCUAACUCUGUGCCAGCAGCCGCGGUAAUACAGAGGGUGCAAGCGUUAAUCGGAAUUACUGGGCGUAAAGCGCGCGUAGGUGGUUUGUUAAGUUGGAUGUGAAAGCCCCGGGCUCAACCUGGGAACUGCAUCCAA
rnacentral:rRNA from 1 species